AUCAUGGCUUUUUUGUUACAGUUCUGAAAAUUUGCUCCUACAAAUUGUUGGUUUGAAAACUGCUAAAGAAGCAUGGAUUAAAUUAAAGACCAUUUUUUCCUCUAGCACAAGGAUACAAAUUAAGCAGCUUCGCAAACAACUUAAGCGUCUAUCAAAAGGCAAUGACUCCAUUGAAGUGUAUAUGAAAUGUGCAAAAUCCAUUUUUGACUAGCUCUCUGCUUUACAAUCACCUAUCAAUGAAGAUGCUCUUGUGAAUCAUAUCUUGGAAGGUCUUGGUGCUGAUUAUCGACCUUUUGUUCAAGCUUUGGAAGCUCAUAAUUCACCUUUAAGCUAUGAUGAUUUAUUUGCUCUAUUUUUGAGUGAAGAAGCUCAGCUGUAGAUGGACAAGCUCUUUAUUGAUGCCUCUGUUCCUCCAACUGCACAGGUGGUUAUGAAAUUCAGCAAUCCAAAAUCUUCAAACUCCUAUUCUCAUUCUACUCGAGGUAGACGUGGUAGGGGUCGUGGCGAUUCUUCUACACAUAAUUAUCAUUGUUCCCAAUUCUCUUCGCAACCUCUUAUUUGUCACAAGUGUAAUGGGCAAGGGCACGAGGCUUGUCAAUGUCCAUCUCCAAGACACACUAUAAUACUUCUCAUCCUAUCACUCUUUUCCAUCCAACAAGUAAUUUUACCAUAAUAGGAAAUAAUACUUCUUAAUCCUGGACAAUUGAUUCUGGUGCAAAUUAUCAUGUUACUGCCGAUCGAGAGAACAUCAUUCAUUCCACUCCUUAUCAUGACAAUGCCCUUCCAAUUACUCAUACAGGUUCUUCCUAUCAUUCUUUUGAUCAUGCUCAGUUUUUUGUUAAAGAUAUUCUUUGUUCUCCUUUUAUUAACCGUAACUUAUUAUCUGUUCAUUCUUUCACUGCUCAGAAUAAUGUUUCACUUGGAUUUUUCCCUCAUAUGUUUGUUGUUAAGGAUAUCCCCACGAGGCAGAUUCUUUAUCAAGGCCAGAGUAAAGACGAUCUCUAUCAAAUCUCUCUCAAGCCAACCGUGUCUCCUGUUGUCAAUGUUGCGUCCUUCAGUACUUGGCAUGCAAGACUUGGGCAUGCCAACACUCAAACUGUCCAACGAGUGCUUAGGUAAAAUAAAUUGUUAGUUAAUAAAAUUAACACUGCUCCUUAUCAUGCGUGUCAAAUUAGCAAAGCUCAUAAGCUUCCUUUUUAUGCUUCCGAUUCAAGAGUUAGCAAACCCUUAGAACUUGUUUGUUCUUAUGUUUGGGGACCUUCCCCUAUUCCUUCUGUUGAUGGUUUUAAAUACUAUUUCAUUUUCUUUGAUCAUUUUAGUAAAUA
rnacentral:misc_RNA from 1 species